UACGGAGGGUGCAAGCGUUAAUCGGAAUUACUGGGCGUAAAGGGCGCGUAGGCGGCCCUCUUUGUCGCGUGUGAAAGCCCCGGGCUCAACCUGGGAAUGGCGCGCGAAACGGGGGGGCUGGAGUUCGGGAGAGGAGCGUGGAAUUCCCAGUGUAGAGGUGAAAUUCGUAGAUAUUGGGAAGAACACCGGUGGCGAAGGCGGCGCUCUGGACCGAGACUGACGCUGAGGCGCGAAAGCGUGGGGAGCAAACAGG
rnacentral:rRNA from 1 species